CAACACGGGUAAAGGUUCUCGCCGAUCAUCCAAAUAAACCACAUGCUCCUCCGCUUGUGCGGGCCCCCGUCAAUUCCUUUGAGUUUCACCCUUGCGGCCGUACUCCCCAGGUGGAAAACUUAACGCUUUAGCU
rnacentral:rRNA from 1 species